GUCUUUUUGAAAAUAAUUUAAAGUUUGAUCUGCCCAAUGAGUAUUUAAUGGCCGCAGUAUAUUGACUGUGCAAAGGUAGCAUAAUCAUUAGUUUUUUAAUUAAAAGCUGGUAUGAAGGAUUGGACGAGAAAAUUUCUGUCUCAAUAUAAAUUAUUUAGAAUUUUAUUUUUAAGUUAAAAAGCUUAAUUAUUAUUAAAAGACGAGAAGACCCUAUAGAGUUUUAUUAAUUGAUUAAAAUUUAUAAAUUUAAUUUUUAAAAAUUUAAGUGAUUAAUUUGAUUGGGGUGAUUAAAAAAUUUAAUAAACUUUUAUUAUAAAAGACAUUAAUUUAUGAUUAAUUGAUCCAUAUAAAUGAUUAUAAGAAUAAAUUACCUUAGGGAUAACAGCGUAAUUUUUUUUUAGAGUUCAAAUCGAUAAAAAAGUUUGCGACCUCGAUGUUGGAUUAAAAAAUAAUUUUGGUGUAGUAGCUAGAAUGAUAGGUCUGUUCGACCUUUAAUAUUUUACAUGAUCUGAGUUUAAACCGGUGUGAGCCAGGUUGGUUUCUAUCUUUAAUGAAUGAAUAUAUUUUAGUACGAAAGGACCAAAUAUAUAAAAUAUUUUUGUAAGAAAUGAAUUUUAUUAAUUUAUAA
rnacentral:rRNA from 1 species